UACGGGGGGAGCAAGCGUUGUUCGGAUUUACUGGGCGUAAAGGGCGCGUAGGCGGUCAGCACAAGUCAGUUGUGAAAUCUCCGGGCUUAACCCGGAAAGGUCAGCCGAUACUGCGGGGCUAGAGUGCAGAAGGGGCAACUGGAAUUCUCGGUGUAGCGGUGAAAUGCGCAGAUAUCAGGAGGAACACCGGUGGCGAAGGCGGGUCUCUGGACAGUUCCUGACACUGAGACACGAAGGCCAGGGGAGCAAACGGG
rnacentral:rRNA from 1 species